GACGAACGCUGGCGGCGUGCUUAACACAUGCAAGUCGAACGGAAAGGCCCGGCUUUGGUGGGGUGCUCGAGGGGCGAACGGGGGAGUAACACGUGAGUAACCUGUCCUUGACUGUGGGAGAACUUCAGGAAACUGGGGCUAAUACCGGAUAGGAGCUCCUGCUGCAUGGUGGGGGUUGGAAAGUUUCGGCGGUUGGGGAUGGACUAGCGGCUCAUCAGCUUGUUGGUGGGGUAGUGGCUUACCAUGGCUUUGAGGGGUAGCCGGGCUGGGAGGGUGACCGGCCCCGUUGCGCCUGGGCUGCGGCCCAGCCUCCUCCGCGACGCGGCGGUGCGGUAUGUUGCACUAUGGGCGGGGGCCUGGUGCAGCAACGCCGCGUGCCGGGUGACGUCCUUCGGUUUGUAUUCCGCUUUCGCCUGUGCCGAGGCGUUAGUGACGGUACUGGGUAAAGAAGCACCGGCUAACUCCGUG
rnacentral:rRNA from 1 species